rnacentral:rRNA from 1 species
CGCUGGCGGCAUGCCUAACACAUGCAAGUCGAACGAGACCUUCGGGUCUAGUGGCGCACGGGUGCGUAACGCGUGGGAAUUUGCCUCGGGGUACGGAAUAACUCAAGAGAAAUUUGAGCUAAUACCGGAUAAUGUCUUCGGACCAAAGAUUUAUCGCCUUUAGAUGGGCCCGCGUUGGAUUAGCUAGUUGGUGGGGUAAAGGCCUACCAAGGCGACGAUCCAUAGCUGGUCUGAGAGGAUGAUCAGCCACACUGGGACUGAGACACGGCCCAGACUCCUACGGGAGGCAGCAGUGGGAAUAUUGGACAAUGGGCGAAAGCCUGAUCCAGCAAUGCCGCGUGAGUGAUGAAGGCCUUCGGGUUGUAAAGCUCUUUUACUCGGGACGAUAAUGACGGUACCGAGAGAAUAAGCCCCGGCUAACUCCGUG